GGAUGAACGCUGGCGGCGUGCCUAAUACAUGCAAGUCGAGCGAACAGACGAGGAGCUUACUCCUCUGACGUUAGCGGCGGACGGGUGAGUAACACGUGGAUAACCUACCUAUAAGACUGGGAUAACUUCGGGAAACCGGAGCUAAUACCGGAUAACAUGUUGAACCGCAUGGUUCAACAGUGAAAGACGGUCUUGCUGUCACUUAUAGAUGGAUCCGCGUCGCAUUAGCUAGUUGGUAAGGUAACGGCUUACCAAGGCAACGAUGCGUAGCCGACCUGAGAGGGUGAUCGGCCACACUGGAACUGAGACACGGUCCAGACUCCUACGGGAGGCAGCAGUAGGGAAUCUUCCGCAAUGGGCGAAAGCCUGACGGAGCAACGCCGCGUGAGUGAAGAAGGUCUUCGGAUCGUAAAACUCUGUUAUUAGGGAAGAACAAAUGUGUAAGUAACUAUGCACGUCUUGACGGUACCUAAUCAGAAAGCCACGGCUAACUACGUG
rnacentral:rRNA from 1 species